AUUUGGAGCAAUUCUGCAAUUGUCUGCUACAUUACGCGUAUAUGGGAGGCAUUUUAACUGUGGUGAAUGCCUGUCAGAUUAUUAUAACUAAGCAGAGUGCAGUGAAAUUAAUAGCAUUAAUGUAGGCUUAAAGCUUUGUUAUGUAAAUGUCAACAAUACGGUGCGUCGAUGUAUCUAUCUUGUAAAUGUUGAUAUCAUAUGCAAUGUCAACCCGUGCACUCACGGGUCAAAGUCCAGUAAGAAUAAUAAAUUUUGACUUGUGAAAGAACUUAAUCAUUUUAAGAUUGAUAAAGCCACAAAAGGGGCAACUGUUUCUUUAAAAGAUUUCUUGUUUUAAACUCUAUUUAUGCAAUAACGAUUCUUUGAUCUUUUGCAGUUUCAUACCAUUGUUUUCCGUCUCUCAGUUCCUAUGAUGAAAGCAGUCAACUUGAUAGGGUCAGUGUCGGAGUUACAUGUACACAAUCCUAAAGGUCCAAGUACAGCACCUGAAUCACAUGUGACUAAAGAAGAUUUGAUGUCCAAACCCUGCAAGAAUGGAAGUGCAAAUGAAUCGGAUGUUACACCACAAGUGUUCCUUUGAGAUCGAAGACGAUGAUGGAGCUAAAGUUCUUGCAAGCCCAGUUGCAGCCAAGAAGACUAAAAGCAGCUCAAAUGAUAUAUCUUUGUUGAAGGUUAAAUGGUCUAAAGAUGAGACGGAAGCAAUCAAAUGCUUCUUCCAAGGUACAUCUUUGAUAGAAAAGACAACAAUACUGGUAACCUACCUAGAAAAUAUGUUUUAAGGUCACCUUUAUUAUUAAGUGAUAAUUUCCUAUUUUUUCUGCUUGUCACCAAUUGUGUAUUGCUAUUGAAAUAUUUAAAACUUCUUGAAAAUGUCAAUGUCAUUUGCUUUCUACUUUAGUACAAAACGUUUAUGUGAUAAGAACACACCUUUUUAAAUUGUUUACAAACAUAGCAUGGUGAAAAACAUGUGCAAGUGAAUAUUAAUAGUCUGUCCCAAGUUAUUUCUUCCAUUACUUUUUGAUUAUUUUUAAUAAAAUUAGUAUACAUAUUUGUGAAAGAAAUACAGUUUAAAUUGACAAAAGGGAAAAUAUCCAAGACAUCUUCAUUGACAUAUUAUCAUUUUUCACUCGUAAAAGUUCACAGGAAUGGAAACAAAUUUCUCAUGGAGAUUUAUAAUGUGAAAUGUUUACAUCCUUUCACCAUUCGGAACCCACUUGGAAUACCUCAUACAAUUUUUCAACGAUGUCAUCCAGGCUAUUUCAUGGCGGAUGCAAUGCAAAAUCCCUAUAGGCUUUCUAUUUUGGGUUGUGUAUUGAAGCCUAAAGCGGUAGAGGGGACAUUUCAAAACAGAUAAUCUUGAUAAAGUGGAUGAAUGUAGUUUGAGCAUGAAUGUAUUUAUGAUAAUCAAAAUAAUAAGCAAGAAGAAGUGGGAGCAAAAACUCGUGACAGAGUAUGAUAUGCCUUGUUUCUAUACAUAGGUACAUGUAUUAUCUUUUUUACAUGCAUAUGUGACAAUAUAAUAAUUCUGAUUGUUCAUAUCAUUUUUAAAAUCUUUUCAAGGUAAAAGAAAAAUCCAGGAGUUUUUGGAAAAACAUAAAAUGUAUUCAUUGGAAGGGCUUAAUGAGAGGACCAAAUUAUUGAAGAUUAGAUCUAAAAUCUUCAACGAGAGAAAAACAACAAGACUUAGGACAUUUAAAAAAUUAAAUGAAAUGAAAUCAAUGAACAAGCAACAAUGAAUCUCAUCAUUUUACAUGUAAUGUAACUGUAAUGUAACAACAAGACGUAGGGCUUGUAUGAUAAUAUAUUUUUAGCUCACCGAGACGAAGUUGGGGGGAGCUUAUGCUAUACCGUCGGCGUCUGCGUCCGGACCUGGUAAAAGUUUUUGUUGCAGGUCCUCUAUCUAAGUUAUUACUUAUCCUAUCUUCACUAAACUUGCAUGUAUGAUGCAUCUGGACCUUUUUAUGAACUUGAAAGACUUGGAUGCUAAAUCUGGGCCAUGAAUUUCAGAUGCUGGAGGAGGUUAAGGUUUUUGGAACAUGUUAAAGUUUUUGGUGCAGGUGCCCUUUGGUGGCAAUUUCUAAGUUACUACUGAUCCAAACUUGCAUGGAUGAUGCGUCUUAUGAUACUGAUGCACCAUACAGGCUUGAAUGCUGAAUCUGAGCCAUAGGUUUCGGAUGCUGGAGGAGGAUAAGGUUUUUAGAGCUGGUUAAAGUUUUUGGAGCAGGUGCCCUCUAAUGAUUAUAUCUUAGCUACUACUGGUCCUAACUUCAUCAAACUUGCAUGGAUGAUGCAUCUUAUGAUACUAAUGCACCUGACAGGCUUGAAUGCUGAAUCUUAGCCAUAGGAUUCGGAUGCUGGAUGAGGUUUAGUUAUAUUUGAACAGGUCACAUCUUUUAUAGAUAAUAGCUUGCAUAAUAGUUAAUUUAAUUAUAAUAUAAUGAAUCAUAGAGGUAGCUUCAGAUGCAGAUCCUGAUCUCUAUUACCAAGGAUGUUUUAAAAAAAAUCUCCUACCUCACUCUAACCUGAUUGAUAGAUGUGUUUGUUGUGAAAUGAUAUAACAUGAUUCAUAUAGUAUUGUAUGAUUUGAUACACUAUUGUUUUAUAUAAUACAAUAUUAUAUCAUAUAUUAUAUCAUAAAAAGUUAUUCAAUACAAAGUGAUAUUGUAUCACUAUUUUUGUGCAUUAUGAUAUGAUAUUGUAUCAUU